UCGAUGGUCAGUUAUUACAAUGGAAUGGGUGCAAACUGAAAGAAAUAAAAACUAUACCUCAAUAACAUUUGUGCAUGUGUGUGCGUGUGGAUUGGACAUGGACAUACUGAUCUGUUUCUUCUUUUGUCUAAUGAAAAAACUACAGCCAAGUGUUCCAGCUCUUGUCGUGGUCUUGAGUUUUUGUUUAUGUUUCCUGUUUUAUUUUGAAAGUUACUCUCCCCGUCUGUCAUGUGUUUGGUUUUACUUCCUGUCUUUGUGUGUUUUCCCACCUGUUUGUGUUUCCUCUGUUGAUUAGUCCCUUGUAUCUUGGUGCUUCCCUCUCCUUGUGUCAGUUCGUCGUCAUUCCUUGUUUCCAGUGUACCUGCCUUAGUUUGUUGUUUCUACGUUCCAGCGUUUCUCCUCGUGUUUAGCUUUUCAGUUCCUAGUUUGUGUUGGAUUUACUUCGGUUACCUGCCUGUUUUUGGACUCAAGCUGAGGUCCUGCUCCACCCAGAUCGUCUUCUUCUGCUCCUCCAGGAUCCGAUCUUUGACGACCCUUAUGAGGUCGUCCGUUCCUGCCCAGGCCUCGGGCUCCACGCUGGCGUAGAGGCAGGGAAUGCCCUCCAGCUCCUUCAAUUUCGCCCGACACGACUUCACAAACUCCUCCUCCGACUCCACGCGCAGAGGCAACUUCCUGUGUGGACAGGAAACAGGAAGGAAGCAGCGCUGCGGCGCCCCGUGUGAACCUGGACCGGCGAGUAAACUACAUACCAGUAGGAGGUGGUGGCCCUCUCGAAGCCCCACUUUCUCAGCGAUGGAGCCCGACUGGACGGCUGAGAUGAAAAUCCCGCUGUCGUUGCCGCCGACCAGGG